UUUCCGUAGGUGAACCUGCGGAAGGAUCAUUAGUGAAUUUAGAGUGGCUACUUUGUAGUGCUCGACCUCCACUUCUAACACUGUGCACUUAUUGGCGAGGUAGGCUCGAAUAGUAACGGUCGCGUUCUGCGCUUCCACGAACUUUGACCUCCUUGCGGCUUUACUUUAUAACUCCAAGUUAAAGAAUGUAAACAAAUUAUAAAACAAAAAAAAACUUUCAACAACGGAUCUCUUGGCUCUCGCAUCGAUGAAGAACGCAGC
rnacentral:misc_RNA from 1 species